AUUGAACGCUGGCGGCAUGCCUUACACAUGCAAGUCGAACGGCAGCACGGGUGCUUGCACCUGGUGGCGAGUGGCGAACGGGUGAGUAAUACAUCGGAACAUGUCCUGUAGUGGGGGAUAGCCCGGCGAAAGCCGGAUUAAUACCGCAUACGAUCUACGGAUGAAAGCGGGGGACCUUCGGGCCUCGCGCUAUAGGGUUGGCCGAUGGCUGAUUAGCUCGUGGGUGGGGUAAAGGCCUACCAAGGCGACGAUCAGUAGCUGGUCUGAGAGGACGACCAGCCACACUGGGACGGAGACACGGCCCAGACGCCUACGGGAGGCAGCAGUGGGGAAUUGUGGACAAUGGGCGAAAGCCUGAUCCAGCAAUGCCGCGUGUGUGAAGAAGGCCUUCGGGUUGUAAAGCACUUUUGUCCGGAAAGAAAUCCUUGGCCCUAAUACGGUCGGGGGAUGACGGUACCGGAAGAAUAAGCACCGGCUAACUACGUG
rnacentral:rRNA from 1 species